rnacentral:rRNA from 1 species
GGUUAAGCGACUAAGCGUACACGGUGGAUGCCCUGGCAGUCAGAGGCGAUGAAGGACGUGCUAAUCUGCGAAAAGCGCCGGCGAGGUGAUAUGAACCUUUGACCCGGCGAUGUCCGAAUGGGGAAACCCAGUGCAAUCCGUUGCACUAUCGUUAACUGAAUACAUAGGUUAACGAGGCGAACCGGGGGAACUGAAACAUCUAAGUACCCCGAGGAAAAGAAAUCAACCGAGAUUCCCCCAGUAGCGGCGAGCGAACGGGGAGCAGCCCGGAGUCUGAAUCAGCUUGUGUGUUAGUGGAACGGUCUGGAAAGUCCGACGGUACAGGGUGAUAGUCCCGUACACGAAAGCACACAUGCUGUGAACUCGAAGAGUAGGGCGGGACACGUGGUAUCCUGUCUGAAUAUGGGGGGACCAUCCUCCAAGGCUAAAUACUCCUGACUGACCGAUAGUGAACCAGUACCGUGAGGGAAAGGCGAAAAGAACCCCGGCGAGGGGAGUGAAAAAGAACCUGAAACCGUGUACGUACAAGCAGUGGGAGCCUCUUUAUGGGGUGACUGCGUACCUUUUGUAUAAUGGGUCAGCGACUUAUAUUCUGUAGCAAGGUUAACCGUAUAGGGGAGCCGAAGGGAAACCGAGUCUUAACUGGGCGUUAAGUUGCAGGGUAUAGACCCGAAACCCGGUGAUCUAGCCAUGGGCAGGUUGAAGGUUGGGUAACACUAACUGGAGGACCGAACCGACUAAUGUUGAAAAAUUAGCGGAUGACCUGUGGCUGGGGGUGAAAGGCCAAUCAAACCGGGAGAUAGCUGGUUCUCCCCGAAAGCUAUUUAGGUAGCGCCUCGUGAACUCAUCUUCGGGGGUAGAGCACUGUUUCGGCUAGGGGGCCAUCCCGGCUUACCAACCCGAUGCAAACUACGAAUACCGAAGAAUGUUAUCACGGGAGACACACGGCGGGUGCUAACGUCCGUCGUGAAGAGGGAAACAACCCAGACCGCCAGCUAAGGUCCCAAAGUCAUGGUUAAGUGGGAAACGAUGUGGGAAGGCACAGACAGCCAGGAUGUUGGCUUAGAAGCAGCCAUCAUUUAAAGAAAGCGUAAUAGCUCACUGGUCGAGUCGGCCUGCGCGGAAGAUGUAACGGGGCUAAACCAUGCACCGAAGCUGCGGCAGCGACACUAUGUGUUGUUGGGUAGGGGAGCGUUCUGUAAGCCGUUGAAGGUGUGCUGUGAGGCAUGCUGGAGGUAUCAGAAGUGCGAAUGCUGACAUAAGUAACGAUAAAGCGGGUGAAAAGCCCGCUCGCCGGAAGACCAAGGGUUCCUGUCCAACGUUAAUCGGGGCAGGGUGAGUCGACCCCUAAGGCGAGGCCGAAAGGCGUAGUCGAUGGGAAACAGGUUAAUAUUCCUGUACUUGGUGUUACUGCGAAGGGGGGACGGAGAAGGCUAUGUCAGCCGGGCGACGGUUGUCCCGGUUUAAGCAUGUAGGCGGAGGUUCCAGGUAAAUCCGGUACCUUGUUAACGCUGAGGUGUGAUGACGAGGCACUACGGUGCUGAAGUGAUAAAUGCCCUGCUUCCAGGAAAAGCCUCUAAGCAUCAGGUAACACGAAAUCGUACCCCAAACCGACACAGGUGGUCAGGUAGAGAAUACCAAGGCGCUUGAGAGAACUCGGGUGAAGGAACUAGGCAAAAUGGUGCCGUAACUUCGGGAGAAGGCACGCUGAUAUGUAGGUGAAGCCCCUGCGGGCGGAGCUGAAAUCAGUCGAAGAUACCAGCUGGCUGCAACUGUUUAUUAAAAACACAGCACUGUGCAAACACGAAAGUGGACGUAUACGGUGUGACGCCUGCCCGGUGCCGGAAGGUUAAUUGAUGGGGUUAGCGGCAACGCGAAGCUCUUGAUCGAAGCCCCGGUAAACGGCGGCCGUAACUAUAACGGUCCUAAGGUAGCGAAAUUCCUUGUCGGGUAAGUUCCGACCUGCACGAAUGGCGUAAUGAUGGCCAGGCUGUCUCCACCCGAGACUCAGUGAAAUUGAACUCGCUGUGAAGAUGCAGUGUACCCGCGGCAAGACGGAAAGACCCCGUGAACCUUUACUAUAGCUUGACACUGAACACUGGUCCUUGAUGUGUAGGAUAGGUGGGAGGCUUUGAAGCGUGGACGCCAGUCUGCGUGGAGCCAACCUUGAAAUACCACCCUUUAAUGGCUGGUGUUCUAACGUAGACCCGUAAUCCGGGUUGCGGACAGUGUCUGGUGGGUAGUUUGACUGGGGCGGUCUCCUCCCAAAGAGUAACGGAGGAGCACGAAGGUUGGCUAAUCCUGGUCGGACAUCAGGAGGUUAGUGCAAUGGCAUAAGCCAGCUUGACUGCGAGCGUGACGGCGCGAGCAGGUGCGAAAGCAGGUCAUAGUGAUCCGGUGGUUCUGAAUGGAAGGGCCAUCGCUCAACGGAUAAAAGGUACUCCGGGGAUAACAGGCUGAUACCGCCCAAGAGUUCAUAUCGACGGCGGUGUUUGGCACCUCGAUGUCGGCUCAUCACAUCCUGGGGCUGAAGUAGGUCCCAAGGGUAUGGCUGUUCGCCAUUUAAAGUGGUACGCGAGCUGGGUUUAGAACGUCGUGAGACAGUUCGGUCCCUAUCUGCCGUGGGCGCUGGAGAAUUGAGGGGGGCUGCUCCUAGUACGAGAGGACCGGAGUGGACGCAUCACUGGUGUUCGGGUUGUCAUGCCAAUGGCACUGCCCGGUAGCUAAAUGCGGAAGAGAUAAGUGCUGAAAGCAUCUAAGCACGAAACUUGCCCCGAGAUGAGUUCUCCCUGAGACCUUGAGUCUCCUGAAGGAACGUUGAAGACUACGACGUUGAUAGGUCGGGUGUGUAAGCGCAGCGAUGCGUUGAGCUAACCGAUACUAAUGAACCGUGAGGCUUAACCUU